AGUGGGGAAUCUUAGACAAUGGGGGAAACCCUGAUCUAGCCAUGCCGCGUGAGCGAUGAAGGCCUUAGGGUUGUAAAGCUCUUUCGUGGGGGAAGAUAAUGACUGUACCCCAAGAAGAAGCCCCGGCUAACUCCGUGCCAGCAGCCGCGGUAAUACGGAGGGGGCUAGCGUUGUUCGGAAUUACUGGGCGUAAAGCGCACGUAGGCGGACUGGAAAGUCAGGGGUGAAAUCCCGGGGCUCAACCCCGGAACUGCCUUUGAAACUCCCGGUCUUGAGGUCGAGAGAGGUGAGUGGAAUUCCGAGUGUAGAGGUGAAAUUCGUAGAUAUUCGGAGGAACACCAGUGGCGAAGGCGGCUCACUGGCUCGAUACUGACGCUGAGGUGCGAAAGCGUGGGGAGCAAA
rnacentral:rRNA from 1 species